rnacentral:rRNA from 1 species
UACGUAGGGGGCUAGCGUUGUCCGGAAUCAUUGGGCGUAAAGCGCGCGUAGGCGGCCCGGUAAGUCCGCUGUAAAAGUCAAAGGCUCAACCUUUGAAUGCCGGUGGAUACUGUCGGGCUAGAGUCCGGAAGAGGCGAGUGGAAUUCCUGGUGUAGCGGUGAAAUGCGCAGAUAUCAGGAGGAACACCAAUGGCGAAGGCAGCUCGCUGGGACGUUACUGACGCUGAGACGCGAAAGCGUGGGGAGCAAACAGG